rnacentral:miRNA from 1 species
AAGCCCUUACCAUUUGGUCUGA